UUAAUCCAUUUCACUUCUUCUCUAUUUAAGCCAGGAUUCAAAUCAAAAUCAAAAUUAGGGUUCUUGAAUUCUCAAAAUUUAAGCUACAAUGUCUUCUAACGAAGCAGGAUUCGAUGAAAAUGGCGAUGAUCACACUGAUCGCGUCUCCCGUUACAGGACGCACAGUUCUCGUGAAUCUGAACAUGAUAGGUCAAGGACUCGCGGCAGGGAAAAAGAUCAUGACCGCUAUCAUAGAGGCUCUAAGGAUGGAAGUGUGAGAGAUGAUAGAAGAAGAGAAAAAACUGGUGAUUUUGACCGUCAUGAAAGGAGUAGCCGCGAUCGAAAUUAUCAUAGGAACCGUGAUUAUGAUGGUGAUAGAGACAGAAGGAAUGGAAGUAGAUCAAGUUCUCAAUCGCAGGGUAGAUUUCGGAAUCGAUCUAGGUCGCGUUCGCCUUCAAAAAGCAAGCGGAAAAGUGGUUUUGACAUGGCUCCAUCUAUGGUGGGCAUGCUUCCUGGUGCUGCAGUGACAGUUAAUGAUGCUGGGCAACUGCCAAGUGUUCCUCUAACAAUGCCAGGAAUGAUACAGAACACUUUACAAUUUGGAACAACACAGUUUGGAGUUCUUCCAUUAAUGCCUGCCCAUGCCAUGACCCAGCAGGCUACAAGGCAUGCACGGCGUGUAUAUGUUGGUGGUCUCCCCCCCUUGGCUAACGAACAGACAAUCGCAACAUUCUUCAGCCAUGUUAUGACUUCAAUUGGAGGAAAUGCUGCUGGUCCAGGUGAUGCUGUGGUGAAUGUAUACAUAAAUCAUGAGAAGAAGUUCGCGUUCGUGGAGAUGAGAACUGUAGAAGAAGCAAGCAAUGCAAUGACAUUAGAUGGAAUUAUUUUUGAGGGGGUUGCUGUGAGAGUUCGGAGGCCUACAGACUAUAAUCCAUCAUUGGCUGCAACACUAGGUCCUAGUCAACCAAGUCCUCUCCUUAACUUAGCCGCUGUUGGUCUCGUACCAGGUACAAUUAGCGGAGCAGAAGGGCCUGAUCGUGUCUUUGUGGGUGGAUUGCCAUAUUACUUUACCGAGACACAGAUAAGAGAGCUGCUAGAGUCUUUCGGACCUCUCCGUGGUUUUGACCUUGUGAAGGAUAGAGACACUGGGAACUCUAAAGGAUAUGGUUUCUGUGUCUAUCAGGAUCCUGCAGUGACUGAUAUUGCAUGUGCUGCUCUAAAUGGCUUGAAAAUGGGAGAUAAAACUUUAACUGUCCGUCGUGGUACUGAAAGUGGUGGGCAGUCCAGGUCGGAACAGGAAAAUAUAUUAGCUCAAGCUCAGCAACAUAUAGCUAUCCAGAAAAUGGCCCUGCAAGCUGGUGUUAUGAAUCUUCCUGGAGUAGGGAUACCAUUGGCAGAAUCUUCACACUCUCCAUCUAAAGUUUUAUGCUUAACUGAGGCAAUCGCAAUGGAAGUACUAGCAGACGAUGAAGAGUAUGAAGAAAUAUUAGAAGAUAUGCGGGAAGAAUGUUGUAAAUUUGGAACCUUGAUCAAUGUUGUCAUUCCUCGCCCAAGUCAGACUGAAGAGCAAAUAUCUGGUGCUGGAAAGGUGUUCUUGGAGUAUUCCGAUACCAGUAGCUGUGCAAAUGCAAGAAAUGCACUAAAUGGGAGGAAAUUUGGAGGAAAUACUGUCAACGCGUCUUAUUAUCCAGAAGACAAGUAUCACAAUGGGGAUUACGGUUUUUAGUGAACUUAGGAACAUCAUUUCCAUUCUUAAGUUCUAUAUGGCAAUUUAUAUUAUCAAAUCAUUUAUUGCCAUCUGUUAGCAGCUACUUCAUGCGGAGAGGUCUCGGAUAUGUAAAUAUGAUUUUAUGUGUCAACUGUCAGCAAACAAAGAGCAUAAUCUGACAGCGAACAAAGAGCAUAAUCUGACAUAAUGUAGAUGUACUGGGUCCGACAACGAAUUAAAAAGACUACAGAAUCUGUCGUCACAAAUUGAAACAUAAACGGCGAAAGCUUAGGCCAGCCACAGUAGAGAAAAAUCUCGGAAGCAAGCUGCUGAACUAACAAGCCUAAAAGAACUUUGAUCUCCCAUAGAUUUCAGGGAAAAACAUAUCGUGCUGAAGAAAGCAUGCAUGUCAUCUUUUAACAGAUUACACAGAGAAACAUUUCGAACAAGAGAUGAUAAAGAGAGGUAAAUCAAGAGUUUUGGCAAACAAUAAUGGCUUCAAGUGGGUUAAUUAUCAGUAAGUGAUCCAAAUCCUGUCUGCAGAAACCAAUAGUGCUGUAGGGAAGCAAAUAAUCUUGGCUAGGUCAGAGGAGGCCUACAACAAAUGUUCAAAUCUGUUAGCCACAAAUAUUAGGAUGUGUAAUAAGAUUGGUUUCGUGAAAAUAUUAGCCAGCACAAGGUUCCUCUACA